AGUAACGCGUGAGGAACCUGCCUCAAAGAGGGGACAACAGUUGGAAACGACUGCUAAUACCGCAUAAGCCCACGGUGCCGCAUGGCACAGAGGGAAAAGGAGCAAUCCGCUUUGAGAUGGCCUCGCGUCCGAUUAGCUAGUUGGUGAGGUAAUGGCCCACCAAGGCGACGAUCGGUAGCCGGACUGAGAGGUUGAACGGCCACAUUGGGACUGAGACACGGCCCAG
rnacentral:rRNA from 1 species